GACGUAGGGAGCAAGCGUUGCCCGGAAUUACUGGGCGUAAAGAGCUCGUAGGCGGGGGCGUGCGUCCGAAAGGAAAUCUCAGGGCUCAACCCUGGGGCUUUUUCGGAUACGGCGCUUCUUGAGGGUGAGAGAGGAAAGUAGAAUUCCCGGUGUAGCGGUGAAAUGCGUAGAUAUCGGGAGGAAUACCAGCGGCGAAGGCGACUUUCUGGCUCAUUCCUGACGCUGAGGAGCGAAAGCGUGGGUAGCGAACGGG
rnacentral:rRNA from 1 species